AUGCUACAUUCUAUUAACUCUCUCCAUGGUUCUCUGCAGUACAGGCAUCCCCUCCUGCCACCCAGUAUGAUAAUUGUGCCUACCUCGCUUCUGAUCAGACCUAUUUCAAAGCAUCAGCAGCUUCAGGAUUUCUCUCUUGAGCCAAAGAAAAGUAGAGCUUUCUCUAACCUUCUUACAAAAGAGCACAUACAGCCCAGAUCCGUAGACCUAGUUUACCAGAUAAAGCAGCUCCAGCUUCCUGUGUAUUUUGCAGCAUUGAGAACAAUCAUGUUGUGGGUUCCGAAGUACCAUACAUGGCUUCCGCUGCCCGGCCCCAGAGAGGCCCUGGAGAGUGAUAAAAUUUGA
rnacentral:lncRNA from 1 species